AGUGAACGCUGGCGGUAGGCCUAACACAUGCAAGUCGAACGGCAGCACAGUAAGAGCUUGCUCUUACUGGUGGCGAGUGGCGGACGGGUGAGGAAUACAUCUGAAUCUACUUUUUCGUUGGGGAUAACGUAGGGAAACUUACGCUAAUACCGCAUACGACCUACGGUUGAAAGCAGGGGAUCUUCGGACCUUGCGCGAUUGAAUGAUCCGAUGUCGGAUUAGCUAGUUGGCGGGGUAAAGGCCCACCAAGGCGACGAUCCGUAGCUGGUCUGAGAGGAUGAUCAGACACACUGGAAAUGAGAAACGGUCCAGACUCCUAAGGGAGGCAGCAGUGGGGAAUAUUGGACAAAGGGCGCAAGCCUGAUCCAGACAUACCGCGUGGGUGAAGAAGGCCUUCGGGUUGUAAAGCCCUUUUGUUGGGAAAGAAAAGCAGAAGGUUAACACCCCGCUGUUCUGACGGUACCCAAAGAAUAAGCACCGGCUAACUUCGUG
rnacentral:rRNA from 1 species